rnacentral:rRNA from 1 species
GAUGAACGCUGGCGGCGUGCUUAACACAUGCAAGUCGAACGGAAAGGCUCUUGCUUGCAGGGGUACUCGAGUGGCGAACGGGUGAGUAACACGUGGGUGAUCUGCCCUGCACUUCGGGAUAAGCCUGGGAAACUGGGUCUAAUACCGGAUAGGACGAUGGUUUGGAUGCCAUUGUGGAAAGUUUUUUCGGUGUGGGAUGAGCUCGCGGCCUAUCAGCUUGUUGGUGGGGUAAUGGCCUACCAAGGCGUCGACGGGUAGCCGGCCUGAGAGGGUGUACGGCCACAUUGGGACUGAGAGACGGCCCAGACUCCUACGGGAGGCAGCAGUGGGGAAUAUUGCACAAUGGGCGCAAGCCUGAUGCAGCGACGCCGCGUGGGGGAUGACGGCCUUCGGGUUGUAAACUCCUUUCGCUAGGGACGAAGCGCAAGUGACGGUACCUGGAGAAGAAGCACCGGCUAACUACGUG